rnacentral:rRNA from 1 species
UACGUAGGGCGCAAGCGUUGUCCGGAAUUAUUGGGCGUAAAGAGCUCGUAGGCGGCCUGUCGCGUCUGCUGUGAAAUCCCGGGGCUUAACCCCGGGCGUGCAGUGGAUACGGGCUGGCUGGAGGCAGGCAGGGGAGAACGGAAUUCCCGGUGUAGCGGUGAAAUGCGCAGAUAUCGGGAGGAACACCUGUGGCGAAGGCGGUUCUCUGGGCCUGUACUGACGCUGAGGAGCGAAAGCGUGGGGAGCGAACAGG